rnacentral:rRNA from 1 species
CCUACGGGUGGCUGCAGUGAGGAAUAUUGGUCAAUGGACGCAAGUCUGAACCAGCCAUGCCGCGUGCAGGAUGACGGCUCUAUGAGUUGUAAACUGCUUUUGUACGAGGGUAAACCCAGAUACGUGUAUCGGGUUGAAAGUAUCGUACGAAUAAGGAUCGGCUACCUCCGUGCAAGCAGCCGCGGUAAUACGGAGGAUCCGAGCGUUAUCCGGAUUUAUUGGGUUUAAAGGGUGCGUAGGCGGUUUGAUAUGUUAGAGGUGAAAUGUCGGGGCUCAACCCCGAGACGGCCUCUACUACUGUGAGACUAGAGAAUAGUUGCGGAAGGCGGAAUGUAUGGUGUAGCGGUGAAAUGCUUAGAUAUCAUACAGAACACCGAUUGCGAAGGCAGCUUACCAAACUAUAUCUGACGUUGAGGCACGAAAGCGUGGGUAGCGAACAGGAUUAGAUACCCGAGUAGUC